GUGAGGAAUAUUGGUCAAUGGGCGGAAGCCUGAACCAGCCAUCCCGCGUGCAGGAAGACGGCCCUAUGGGUUGUAAACUGCUUUUCCAGGGGGCGAAACUUUCCGAUGUAUCGGGAUUUGACGGUACCCUGGGAAUAAGCAUCGGCUAACUCCGUGCCAGCAGCCGCGGUAAUACGGAGGAUGCGAGCGUUAUCCGGAUUUAUUGGGUUUAAAGGGUGCGUAGGCGGAUCGAUAAGUCAGUGGUGAAACCCUGCAGCUUAACUGUAGACUUGCCGUUGAUACUGUUGGUCUUGAGUGUGGUCAAGGUAGGCGGAAUGUGUAAUGUAGCGGUGAAAUGCUUAGAUAUUACACAGAACACCGAUUGCGAAGGCAGCUUACUGGGCCAUUACUGACGCUGAUGCACGAAAGCGUGGGGAUCGAACAGGAUUAGAAACCCCAGUAGUCC
rnacentral:rRNA from 1 species